UGCAGAGUAGAAUUUUGCGCGUUAAGUGCCGCCUGGACAGGGAGUUGCCGGACGGACGAAAAGGAAACUUGCGGUGCAGAGUUCGCAUCCCGCUGCU
rnacentral:ncRNA from 2 species